AUACGUAGGGUGCAAGCGUUAAUCGGAAUUACUGGGCGUAAAGCGUGCGCAGGCGGUUUUGUAAGACAGUGGUGAAAUCCCCGGGCUCAACCUGGGAACUGCCAUUGUGACUGCAAGGCUGGAGUGCGGCAGAGGGGGAUGGAAUUCCGCGUGUAGCAGUGAAAUGCGUAGAUAUGCGGAGGAACACCGAUGGCGAAGGCAAUCCCCUGGGCCUGCACUGACGCUCAUGCACGAAAGCGUGGGGAGCAAACAGGAUUAGAUACCCUGUUAGUCCACGCCCUAAACGAUGUCAACUGGUCGUUGGGGAUUUAUUUUCUCAGUAACGAAGCUAACGCGUGAAGUUGACCGCCUGGGGAGUACGGCCGCAAGGUUAAAACUCAAAUGAAUUGACGGGG
rnacentral:rRNA from 1 species